UUAAUAGUAACAGUAGUUAUGGAUACACUAUAUAUUAGUGUGGGCCUAAAGAAAUCAAUGUUUUACUUUGACGUGUUUCAACCUUUCAUUUAAUUCCUUUUAUUAUAAAAAAUCACUGCGCAAAAUAUUUUUGACUGUAAUACAUAUUUAAUAGGGCUAGGAAGGUACUUUAACCCCAUGGUUUGGUAUAAACAGCGUUACAACAUUCAGAGUACGUGGUUCAGUAUGCUUGAAAAGGAGUAAUUGCUCAGCCCAUCAGAAGACUUGCUUGCUAAUUCAAUCAAUAGAACAUCCACACUGCAGUACAAUACCUACUUUUGGAAGAAGACUCAAAUAAAAUUAACUGGUUUUGGAAUAAAUCAAACAUGUAUAUAAA
rnacentral:lncRNA from 1 species